CAGACUGUGAUUAAACAUUUCAUUGCUAAUUCUUAUUCUAUCCUGUACAUACUGUUGAUAUGUCAUGUUCAUCGUUUAGAGUUUACGUGGCAGGAGAUGUAUAUGUAUACAUAAGCAUAGGCAAAUUGUAAGCAUGGCAAAUUCUUUGUUGAGAUUUAGUAAUGUCUUUCUCAAAGAGACCCAAGUGUAAAUGUUUGUCGUAAGCACCAUGGAUAAUAGCAUUUACAUAAUGUCCCGUGACAAGAAAUUACAUCUAAAAUACAAAUGUAUUUUUUCAGAUUUGUAAAAAAAGACCUGCUUCUCCUGGUGUUGUAUCCUUGCUGGACGGAGAUGGUGAAGAUGCUGGAGGCGGCCAAGCCAGCACAGUAUGGGGUAGAUUUGACAAGGGACAAGAAAAGAAGGCCACCUCCCCUCCAGACAUUCCGAUCAGAGAAAAGAGACAAUUCGAAGCCAACCCAAAGAGACGUCCAAGACCUUGUCUGGGCUGCCUAUCUGUAAUAUCAGCUAAAAAGGAGGCUCCUGUAACAAUUCCUAGGAUGAAACCGUUGGUCAUAGCAACAGGAAAAACUGAUUUAGCACACUUUGAAAAACAAUAUUGAAAAUAUUAAAACAAUCAGCUCUAUCACAAUGACCUCAGUGAAACCCAGCGUGGUUGCGGGAUGAUACAAAAUCCAUUGUAAUGAACAAUAAGUGAAAUGCCGGGGGUCCCGAGUGGCGCAUCCAGUAAAGGCACUCCACGUGCAGUGCAGGAUGUGCCCUAUAGUCUGGACAUCGCGAGUUCGAGUCCAGGCUAUUCCUUUGCCGACCGAGGAUGGGAGCUCCCAGGGGGCGGCGCUCAAUUGGCCCACGCUUCGGAGGACAGCGUGUGUUUGUCUUCGCCCUCCAGAGUCAGCCCUGGGGUGGUAGCGGUGAGCUGAGCAUAAUAAAAUAAUUGGCCAUUCCAAAUUGGGGAGAAAAUAAUAAAAAAUAAUUGGCAACGACUAAAUUUAUAAAAAAAAAAAAAAAAGUGAAAUGCUUCAGUUUUUACA